rnacentral:rRNA from 1 species
UAAUAGCUCACUGGUCGAGUCGGCCUGCGCGGAAGAUGUAACGGGGCUAAACCAUGCACCGAAGCUGCGGCAGCGACACUAUGUGUUGUUGGGUAGGGGAGCGUUCUGUAAGCCUGUGAAGGUGGCCUGUGAGGGUUGCUGGAGGUAUCAGAAGUGCGAAUGCUGACAUAAGUAACGAUAAAGCGGGUGAAAAGCCCGCUCGCCGGAAGACCAAGGGUUCCUGUCCAACGUUAAUCGGGGCAGGGUGAGUCGACCCCUAAGGCGAGGCCGAAAGGCGUAGUCGAUGGGAAACAGGUUAAUAUUCCUGUACUUGGUGUUACUGCGAAGGGGGGACGGAGAAGGCUAUGUUGGCCGGGCGACGGUUGUCCCGGUUUAAGCGUGUAGGCUGGUUUUCCAGGCAAAUCCGGAAAACCAAGGCUGAGGCGUGAUGACGAGGCACUACGGUGCUGAAGCAACAAAUGCCCUGCUUCCAGGAAAAGCCUCUAAGCAUCAGGUAACAUCAAAUCGUACCCCAAACCGACACAGGUGGUCAGGUAGAGAAUACCAAGGCGCUUGAGAGAACUCGGGUGAAGGAACUAGGCAAAAUGGUGCCGUAACUUCGGGAGAAGGCACGCUGAUAUGUAGGUGAAGCGACUUGCUCGUGGAGCUGAAAUCAGUCGAAGAUACCAGCUGGCUGCAACUGUUUAUUAAAAACACAGCACUGUGCAAACACGAAAGUGGACGUAUACGGUGUGACGCCUGCCCGGUGCCGGAAGGUUAAUUGAUGGGGUUAGCGGUAACGCGAAGCUCUUGAUCGAAGCCCCGGUAAACGGCGGCCGUAACUAUAACGGUCCUAAGGUAGCGAAAUUCCUUGUCGGGUAAGUUCCGACCUGCACGAAUGGCGUAAUGAUGGCCAGGCUGUCUCCACCCGAGACUCAGUGAAAUUGAACUCGCUGUGAAGAUGCAGUGUACCCGCGGCAAGACGGAAAGACCCCGUGAACCUUUACUAUAGCUUGACACUGAACAUUGAGCCUUGAUGUGUAGGAUAGGUGGGAGGCUUUGAAGUGUGGACGCCAGUCUGCAUGGAGCCGACCUUGAAAUACCACCCUUUAAUGUUUGAUGUUCUAACGUGGGCCCCUAAUCGGGGUUGCGGACAGUGUCUGGUGGGUAGUUUGACUGGGGCGGUCUCCUCCUAAAGAGUAACGGAGGAGCACGAAGGUU